GGAAGUAAAAGUCGUACAAGGUUUCCGUAGGUGAACCUGCGGAAGGAUCAUUACAGAGUUCAUGCCCUCACGGGUAGAUCUCCCACCCUUGAAUAUUUAUACCUUAGUUGCUUUGGCAGGCCGUGGAAACACCAUGGGCUCCGGCUUAUGCGUGCCUGCCAGAGGAAACAAACUCAGUUUUUAGUGAUGUCUGAGUACUAUAUAAUAGUUAAAACUUUCAACAACGGAUCUCUUGGUUCUG
rnacentral:misc_RNA from 1 species